rnacentral:rRNA from 1 species
GACGAACGCUGGCGGCGUGCUUAACACAUGCAAGUCGAGCGGUAAGGCCCUUUCGGGGGUACGACGAGCGGCGAACGGGUGAGUAACACGUGGGUGACCUGCCCUUAGCUCUGGGAUAAGCCUGGGAAACUGGGUCUAAUACCGGAUAUGACUCCAUAACGCAUGUUGUGGGGUGGAAAGACCUUGUGCGGCUAGGGAUGGGCCCGUGGCCUAUCAGCUUGUUGG